rnacentral:lncRNA from 1 species
GGGGCGCCCGGCAGCUCAGGCUCGGGAGCACUGGGGAGUGGGGCCUCUUUCCCCGCAGGGAGUUGGGGCGGGGGUUGCAGAAAGGCGACGCGGGACCCCGUACCCCAGGAGUGAGUCGAAGUCACGGGUGUGUCCAGAAGAAGCCCUGGUACAGGGAGCCGGGCGAUGCUGGGGCAGGAAAGGGGCUGGAGAGGUCCACGCGUGCGGGAGGGCUUUGAGGGGCCUCCAGAGCCAGAGGCACCCGGUGAGCCCCAAGGCCCGGGCUGGGCGGGGCGCGGGAGGCGGCAGGGCACCCUAAGGGAGGGGCGACGCGCUCGCAGCAGCCACCCUUGGCCUCUUGGCGCAGAAUCUGCAAGACCGCCGCGGGGCCGGGCCUUGCCUCAUCCCCGGGACUGCUCCCCUUCCCCCAGCGCUUCUCGCGGCAACCCCAGCCCUCCCGCCCGGCCACGGAACCCUGCGCCGGACGCUUGCUCAGCAGUCGGGCUCGCCUGGAAGUGACCUCGCGUCAGCCAGGCGGACCCCGGGCCCUUGUCCUUGGUGCUGACCGAGCUGUCUCAUUCUCGUCGGCCCUUUCCAGAGCGCGGGGCCUGCCGCGCCACUAAGGAAUGUCUGGCCUCGCUGUGUCGGGGCGGGAAGAGGCCUCGGUGUCAGGUUGUCCACCCCUGUCGUUGAACCUAGGGGGAAACUGAGGCCCAGAAAGUCUGGACUCGAAUCCAGUGGGUCAAUUGACUCCCAGUCCAGAACGCCCGAAAGAACAGUUCAGAAGCCCAGGUUGGCAGAGGCGCUGCUAGCGGAAGGAAUCGCAACAGGGGACUCUGUGUAAAAGGAGCAUUCGCUGUGACCUACUUCAGGGGGCUCUUCUACACGUCCUGGCUGGGCUGACUGGUGCUGCGACCGCCAGGGAGGCUGCACUCCGCUAAAUAAAGCGCAGCCAGCCUUGUCUCCUCCACCUGACCUUUCACAAUCUCUACUACCUGUGGGUUCCCAGGUACCUGUUACCUUCUUUUUAAGGUGGCUAAAUGAAAAAAGAAAAUGUGAUUCCCCUGGAUUGACAGUCUGGGCCAAUUUUGUUUUAGUAACCACACAAAUAGCUUGUUUUGUUUUUAAAAUAAUAAUAAUAAAGUAGGGACUCCAUGUGAACUUAAUCCUGUAGGUGUCACAGACGCCAGAGGCUGCUAAAAGUCCUCCAGUGGAAACAGGAGGCAGACUGCAUGGUUUCUCCCUGUCCUGUUCAAACACAGAAGCAAAUGUCCCACUUUUCUGCUUUAAGAGAUACCUAAAAUUCAUGUGGCCAUCGCAGGAAAUCACUGAACACCAGACAGAUCUGCAAGCAGAGAAUUCAGACCUCCAAGUGGAUACAAACAGUUAUGACAUUUUUCCUCACACCUGCUGUCUUUUAAUCUAAGACCUCUUCCUUUUGAAAAUUCUUAAUUUUGUGCCACGCCAGCACCCUCUGCUGGUACUAGUGUCGUCAUUCAGGUGGUUUCUGUGGCCCUGGAGUUGCAUUCUUUCCUGAAACUAACUUCUCUUACCUUGAAUCCUGGACUAGUGGAUAGUGCUCUUCAUUCCCUUCCAUCAAGACACACACACAAAUGAAGCAAGAUGAAGUGUAAACAGGUUGUGAGUUCAUUAAAAUCACAUUUCAGUUUAUUAUCCUUUUGCCCAAGCAACCCCUUUGUUUGUGUAUUUCAUAUUGCUUUGAAAUAUAGGAUAAUUAAAAGUGGUUUUAUUUUCUGGAUGCUGGUUCCUGCAUGUUUCAGAUAAUUUUCCUUUCUUAAAGUAUUCUCUUAGUCUUUAAUCUUUAAAGUGCAUAUUAUGGCAGAGACAAUACAAGAUCCUUUCAUUUUUUCCAGGCUAAAAAGGAAGACUAUAAUCUUCCUGCACCUUAGCUUAUAGACGGAGCAACAUGCUUAACGCUGGAAAAAAAGCAUAUUGACUUGCAUGUCCUGGUCCCAAAACAUCCAUGUACUAAGCGCCAUGCAAGUGUUAACUAUUAUUACUAUUAUCACUCUCAGAGAAAUGGGUCUUUUCUGUAGAUUCUGAAAGCUGAUCUGGUACUUCACUGACAGCUUUUCAACCAUCUGCAAGAUCCCCAAAUACUCAAUGAAAAAGUCCAACUAAUACAUUACCCUGUCACA